GACGAACCGUGCGAACGUUGUUCGGAAUCACUGGGCUUAAAGGGCGCGUAGGCGGGUCAGCAAGUCCGGGGCGAAAUCUUUCGGCUCAACCGGAAAAGUGCCUUGGAUACUGCUGGUCUUGAGGGAGGUAGGGGUUUGUGGAACUUCUGGUGGAGCGGUGAAAUGCGUUGAUAUCAGAAGGAACGCCGGUGGCGAAAGCGACGAACUGGACCUCUUCUGACGCUGAGGCGCGAAAGCUAGGGGAGCAAACGGG
rnacentral:rRNA from 1 species